UGGCUCAGUGGUUAAGAGCACUGGCUGCUCUUCCAGAGGUCCUGGGUUCAAUUCCCAG
rfam:Rattus norvegicus chromosome 2, whole genome shotgun sequence.